rnacentral:rRNA from 2 species
GGGUUGUGAGGUUAAGCGACUAAGCGUACACGGUGGAUGCCCUGGCAGUCAGAGGCGAUGAAGGGCGUGCUAAUCUGCGAUAAGCGCCGGUAAGGUGAUAUGAACCGUUAUAACCGGCGAUACCCGAAUGGGGAAACCCAGUGUGACUCGUCACACUAUCAUUAACUGAAUCCAUAGGUUAAUGAGGCGAACCGGGGGAACUGAAACAUCUAAGUACCCCGAGGAAAAGAAAUCAACCGAGAUUCCCCCAGUAGCGGCGAGCGAACGGGGAGGAGCCCAGAGCCUGAAUCAGCAUAUGUGUUAGUGGAAGCGUCUGGAAAGGCGCGCGAUACAGGGUGACAGCCCCGUACACAAAAGCGCAUGUGCUGUGAGCUCGAUGAGUAGGGCGGGACACGUGGUAUCCUGUCUGAAUAUGGGGGGACCAUCCUCCAAGGCUAAAUACUCCUGACUGACCGAUAGUGAACCAGUACCGUGAGGGAAAGGCGAAAAGAACCCCGGCGAGGGGAGUGAAAAAGAACCUGAAACCGUGUACGUACAAGCAGUGGGAGCCCCACCACUAAGCCAGUGGUGAACUCCACAUACGCAUCCUUUGCUGAGGAUACGGUUAACGGAGCGAAAGCGACGUUCAACCUCAAAAGAAGCAGAGGGGGCUUAGUGGUGGGGUGACUGCGUACCUUUUGUAUAAUGGGUCAGCGACUUAUAUUCUGUAGCAAGGUUAACCGAAUAGGGGAGCCGGAGGGAAACCGAGUCUUAAU